AAACCAUAUCAAUCAGUUUCACUUCUCUAGAGAAGAUGACAAUUUUUGAUGUUCCAAAACGAUCGUGGUUUGGAAA